rnacentral:rRNA from 1 species
UACGUAGGGUGCAAGCGUUAAUCGGAAUUACUGGGCGUAAAGCGUGCGCAGGCGGUGAUGUAAGACAGGUGUGAAAUCCCCGGGCUUAACCUGGGAACUGCAUUUGUGACUGCAUCGCUGGAGUGCGGCAGAGGGGGAUGGAAUUCCGCGUGUAGCAGUGAAAUGCGUAGAUAUCUGGAGGAACACCGGUGGCGAAGGCGACCUCCUGGACCGGUAUUGACGCUGAGGCGCGAAAGCCAGGGGAGCAAACGGG